rnacentral:rRNA from 1 species
UACGUAGGGGCCUAGCGUUGUCCGGAAUUAUUGGGCGUAAAGAGCUCGUAGGCGGUUCGGCAAGUCGGAUGUGAAAUCUCCACGCUUAACGUGGAGGGGCCAUUCGAAACUGCUGUGACUCGAGUCCGGUAGGGGAGUGUGGAAUUCCCGGUGUAGCGGUGAAAUGCGCAGAUAUCGGGAGGAACACCGGUGGCGAAGGCGGUUCUCUGGGCCUUACCUGACGCUGAGGCGCGAAGGCUAGGGGAGCGAACAGG